rnacentral:rRNA from 1 species
CAGCAGCCGCGGUAAUACAGAGGGUGCGAGCGUUAAUCGGAUUUACUGGGCGUAAAGCGUGCGUAGGCGGCUUCUUAAGUCGGAUGUGAAAUCCCUGAGCUUAACUUAGGAAUUGCAUUCGAUACUGGGAAGCUAGAGUAUGGGAGAUGAUGGUAGAAUUCCAGGUGUAGCGGUGAAAUGCGUAGAGAUCUGGAGGAAUACCGAUGGCGAAGGCAGCCAUCUGGCCUAAUACUGACGCUGAGGUACGAAAGCAUGGGGAGCAAACAGGAUUAGAGACCCCUGUAGUCCCUGUCUCUUAUAC